rnacentral:rRNA from 1 species
AGUGAACGCUGGCGGUAGGCCUAACACAUGCAAGUCGAACGGCAGCACAGUAAGAGCUUGCUCUUACGGGUGGCGAGUGGCGGACGGGUGAGGAAUACAUCGGAAUCUACUUUUUCGUGGGGGAUAACGUAGGGAAGCUUACGCUAAUACCGCAUACGACCUACGGGUGAAAGCAGGGGAUCUUCGGACCUUGCGCGAUUGAAUGAGCCGAUGUCGGAUUAGCUAGUUGGCGGGGUAAAGGCCCACCAAGGCGACGAUCCGUAGCUGGUCUGAGAGGAUGAUCAGCCACACUGGAACUGAGACACGGUCCAGACUCCUACGGGAGGCAGCAGUGGGGAAUAUUGGACAAUGGGCGCAAGCCUGAUCCAGCCAUACCGCGUGGGUGAAGAAGGCCUUCGGGUUGUAAAGCCCUAUUGUUGGGAAAGAAAAGCAGCAGGUUAAUACCCCGCUGUUCUGACGGUACCCAAAGAAUAAGCACCGGCUAACUUCGUG